GUUGAUCCCGCCGGACCCCACUGCUAUCGGGAUAGGACUAAGACAUGCUAGUCGAGCGCCUCCCAGCCACGACGGAGGCGCGGCGCACAGCUCAGUAACACGUGGCUAACCUGCCCUCGGGACGGGAAUACCCCCGGGAAACUGGGGCUAAUCCCCGAUAGGUGAAGAACUCUGGAAUGAGUCUCCGCCCAAAAGACGCUUAAAUCAUGCUUUUAGGCGCCGCCCAAGGAUGGGGCCGCGACCGAUCAGGUAGUUGGUGAGGCAACGGCUCACCAAGCCUUUAACCGGUGCGGGCCGUGGGAGCGGGAGCCCGGAGAUGGGCACUGAGACAAGGGCCCAGGCCCUACGGGGCGCAGCAGUCGCGAAAACUUUGCAAUACACGAAAGUGUGACAGGGCUAUCCCGAGUGCCAUCCGCUGAGGAAGGCUUUUACCCAGUCUAGAAAGCUGGGAGAAUAAGGAGAGGGCAAGUCUGGUGUCAGCCGCCGCGGUAAUACCAGCUCUCCGAGUGGUGUGGAUGUUUAUUGGGCCUAAAGCAUCCGUAGCUGGCCAAGUUAGUCCCCUGUUAAAUCCACCGAAUUAAUCGUUGGAGUGCGGGGGAUACUGCUCGGCUAGGGGACGAGAGAGGCCGACGGUAUUUUCGGGGUAGGGGUGAAAUCCUAUAAUCCCGGGAAGACCACCAGUGGCGAAGGCUGUCGGCUAGAACGCGCCCGACGGUGAGGGAUGAAAGCUGGGGGAGCGAACCGGAUUAGAUACCCGGGUAGUCCCAGCUGUAAACGAUGCAGGCUAGGUGUUUGGGCGGCCACGGGCCGCUCUAGUGCCGUAGGGAAGCCGUUAAGCCUGCCGCCUGGGGAGUACGGUCGCAAGGCUGAAACUUAAAGGAAUUGGCGGGGGAGCACCACAAGGGGUGAAGCUUGCGG
rnacentral:rRNA from 1 species